UUAUCCNNUAAAUAAAUUUAAUGUAACCCACCUCUUCUUAAAUAUAAGCUACACCUUGAUCUGAUUUAUUUUUUAAUAAAAAAUUAUGAAUAUUUAAAUUCUAUUAAAAUAUUCAACCUACGACGAUAUGUAAACUUAAAACUAAAGUAUUAAUAAUCGGGGAUUAUCAAUUAUAGGGCAGGUUCCUCUGAAAAGACUAAAAUACCGCCAAAUUUUUUAAUUUUUAAGAAAAUAACUAAUACUAAUUUAGUAUAAAAAUUUACAUUUACAAUAAUAGGGUAUCUAAUCCUAGUUUA
rnacentral:rRNA from 1 species